rnacentral:lncRNA from 1 species
AGACCAUGAUUUACACAUAAGUAAAUAUUUAUAAGCUUAAUCCAGGAAAAAACAACAGAGGCCGUCUUUUUAAUGUCUGAAGAGAAAGAAGAAGGUAAAUUGACAAAAGACCGCGCUAGAACUAUAUGUAACUAACACCUCUCCUUAUACUCCCAUAGUCACAAAAGAAUUGAUCUUUUAACUUGCUACUUCCAUGAACAUAUUUCUUGGCGCAAAGCCUUGGGCACCUACUGAUCUCAGAAGGAGUAUUGCCUAUGCCUCAAGUUCAGACCAGCUACGUCCAGCACUGUUUGAUUAUACAUGAAUUGUCACCUCAUCAAAUCUUUCGGACACAAUAAUAGCCACAUUUUCUUUGCACCUGUCUUACAACCUACCUGGUCUCCUGAACUGCCAAAAUCCACACAUGCCAAGAAUUAAUCAUUCAAAUCUGCAAACCAACAACCUUCAUACCAUGCGAAAAGGUAAAAACUGUUUAUAUAACUUCUGGCUUUGACAAAUCUGCAAACUAAAAGACUUAGCAGAAAGGUAACAACUGUUUAUCUAAGUUGUGGUUUUGCCAAAGGCAUCCCAUGAUACCAUAGCUCAAUGACGAAUUAGAGUCAUGCACAUAUGGAACCCCUCAUAGUUCAUACAUCUGUUGUUACCAAACAAAAGAAUUUGACAUGAAGUUAAUGAAAGAAAAGAAUAAGAAUUUAAACUGUUCUAGCAAGACUUUUAGAGAUGGAUUACAUUCAAACAUGCAAGUAGCCCUUAAUUAUUUAUGCAUGUAUAGAUAUUGAGGUAAAACACUUUAUCGUCAGAUGGAGAAGAAUUAUUGCGUACAGCAAGACGGUGUCAUGCAGAAGUGAACAAGUAACAGAAAAGAAUAAAAGGAAGGAUCAAUCUAAAAUUUGCUAAUGAUAUUAAAUCAAUUCAAAAUCUAUAUACGCCAAAAAACCUCUCAUACGCAUAUUCCACAAAAGUCUAUACCAUGUUGUAGAACAAAUCAAAAGUAUAAUCUGUAACUCAAGUUCAUCAGCUACCAAUUGCACAAAUAGCUCCAGAAAAAGAUAAUCCGUUUCAAAAUUUGAGGGUGCUUAAAGGCAUGGAAAGAUAGUAAUUUCAAAUCCAAACUUCAAUAGAUGGGAGUUGGAAAGUUCAAAUACCACCGUUAUUAGGAACCCAACUGCAUCAUACAAUAGAGUAAAAGAAAAACAAGAAGAAAAGAACAUGAAAAAAAAAAAAAAAAGGAAGAUAUCUGAAAACAAGAAGUCAAAAAAUUGAAGAAAUAAAUAACAAAAAGGCAAUCAAGUAUGUAAAACUGCUGACAAUUGUAGCAGCUUCCUUUCAAAACUAAAAGAAAGUAUACAGCUUAACUCUCUUACAGGAAUACAGGUCUCGUAUCCGUUCAAAACACGAAAUACCUAACAACUCAAAAGCUUCAAAACUGUUUUCUCUUAUUCUGAAACAAUGUUUCUCUUUUUGCAUAAACAUAAACGAGUGUAAAGAAAACACCAGCAGCCAUAGAAACUGAAAACCAAGGGAAUGGGGGUCCUUGAAGCAAGUAAGUGAGGCCUCCAAAUCUUGAGAUGCAUGAUAAACAAGAGAGUGAAUAGCGUACAAAUCGUGGUCUGAAGACCUCAAGUAGUACAAAGCCAUAUCAUAAUCAAAAUGUGAUAAUGCAGAAAUGGCUUUGUCUAGCUUGUACUUGAAUAGGUUCCAUCUCUGCAGGAACUCAGUCUGCUGAUUCUGCCUAAGAAGCUUUUUCUCUCCACCAUGUGCAGAAAUGGAUUCAAGAACAUCCAAAGCACUUCCAAUAGUGUAAUUAAAUGACGUCAAAAGCACGUUUCUUCUGGCUGCAUCCUUCUGCACAAAAGAAAAUGAAGAAAUGUCGGAGAAGGGUCCAAAUGGAGUCUGUCCAACACUCCAGGUAUAAUCUACCAGCGUACUGUUGUGCCUAGGGCUCCAGACCAAAUGCGUUGGUGACACUCCCCACAUACUCUGCAGAAUGGAACCAACAAGAGGUCUCUCAAGUUGUCGAGUCUGUGUGAACACAUGGCGGCCAUUGCAACUGUAAUCACUCACAGUCUGCGUAUUCUUUGUUCUGACAGCGAUUACCAUAUCUUUAAAUGCAACAGACUGGUGAUACCGAUCAAGCAACAAAAUCGUACUAGCAUCCAAAUCGAACACAUAUACAGGAAGUACUCUACUCCUGAAAUCUUCCUCAGGAAGCCCUGCCAAUCUCCUGAACUCUUCAGAUGAUUCAGAAAUUGUCUGAUGUAACCUUCUGGAGUCCAAGUACUCACUAACAAUCAGAGUGUAAUUAUCAAACAAGUACCUAGAAGUAUACGAAGUAGUUGCCCUCCAAAUAGCAAAAGAACAAAUCGAACACUCUGAUAACUUGACCUCAUAUUUCUUAAAACUCAACCUCUGCUCACCCAAUAGCAACCCUUUAUCAUUAAUCUCGUCAGUAAAAGCUCUCUCUAUUGAUUUCCAGUCUAAUCCAAAAUUAUCCGACGAAGAACCAUAUAUAUGUAUAAACUGAACAGUCAACGAAUUCUCAAAAGGCACUGGAAUUCUCAAUGAGGGCACAAAUAGUACCUGAUAAGCGCUCCAAACCAGUGAUGCCAAGUCUGCCAGCAUCGCCUUCUGCGACUUGGGUUGGCCGUGCAUUGCUGCUAGCGGAUGAAACUCGCCUCUUGGCAAGACCCCAUCACCAGACAACGCCGGCCCGUAGUCCACGGGGCCGGCGCCCAAAUCGAUCCACAAGUAGCGAUCUUCCCCGUCCAGAUAGAGCCCAUGCACUUGGUGACCCCUGGGGACGGAUCCCGGGGGUGUAGCUAUAGGCAUAGGACUUGGACUGAGAGCCCAAAUGGAGAAUAUAAAUGUAAAUUCCGUCGAUAGGUUUUUCGUUUUCGAAGUCUUGCUUUAUGAUUUCAUCGAUCAAGGAGUGGGGACGGAGGCGAAAGGCAGCCGGAUGGAGGAUGGAGUAUUCGAGAGAUGGGUUUUGAGAGCUUCGGAGAGGUGAGAGGAGAGCGAAGAGGAGGAAAGGGAGACUUCUAGGUGGAGGGAAUGUGAGAGAGAGAGUGGUGGGAGGCGUCGGAGGAAAAAGGGGUGAUAACGCGGAAGCGGUCGGAGGAGACAGCGGAGGUAAGGAAGGAGGAAAGGAGGGGAGGGAGGAUGAUGUAAAGGUUGGUCCCACCAGCUUCACGGUAAUCGGGACGAGAGUUGGAGGGAGAGAAGGGAAGCCGGAGUGGGCGGGUUGACAGCGGAGGGGUGAGAGAUGGAUCUCUUGAGGGAAGAGGGAAGCAAGAGGAAAGAGUCGUUGGUGCCUUGUGGGUCCGUCCGGUAUUGUUGAGUCAGGAAGGAAUCUAAGCCCAAGAUUCCGGCGGAAGCAGCUAUGGUGCUGAGGUAUAUGAGGGAUCAAUGCCGUGACCAAUUUUGACCUCAGCACUUAUAUCAGAUGGUUGAAGCCAGGAGUAAACCCUGCAGCUUCUGCUCAAGAAUCAGAGCCAAUCAUACAUCCACAGACUCCACCGUCCCAUGACUUCCGUGCAGGAGAGACCAACCAAUCCUUUAUCUUCCAAAGGUCAUUCAGCACAGGGGACCUUAAUAAGGAAGAAAUAUGUGAACGACAACUACCAGUUUAUUCAUGCAAUAAAUCUUCUUCCCCAACAGCACUUGGCCUCCUACUCCGAUCUUCAAUUUUUCGCGAACUGGUCGCGAAGAAUUCAAUUGUCUCAGACGAAGAAAAUGACAGCGAGAGUGGAAAAGUUCAGCCGCAGGUAGUUAAUGAUGAAUACUUGGCUGAGAUGUUUGAGGACGGAAAUGGAGCUACCCCAUUUGGUGUAACUUCAGAGAGUUACGGCAUUGACUUGGAGGAACCAUUCCGUUUCAACUAUGACUGUCUGGAGAAUCCACUACAAACAAGAUUAUGAUCAAAGCCUCUAAAAACUAGUUGAUCGAACUUUUUCUAUCUGCUUCCUGCGUAAAAUGAGAAUCUUGUAUAAAAGAAAAGAUAACGUUUCUUUUUUUAAUCCUUCCUCCCUCAAAGAUAACGUUUCUUUUUUUAAUCCUUCCUCCCUCCCAUAUUCCCUCCCUAAACCCCUACCGCAAACCUGCCAGGCAGGAGUGGAACUCCUGGCUUGACAGGCGGGAGCAUAGCAACAGCCCAAAAGAGGCUGGCUGUUGGUUAUUAGAUAACGUUUCUUCCUAUUUAUCUGGCAAUAAUAUCCGGUUAUCAAAAGUUGGAUGUGGAGAUGACUUUUAACAUCUAUUCUUCUUUGUAUUGCCAUCAGUCAUACACUCGGACUCUUACCAAGUUCCCUUGGCCUAUUAUGGCCAUGUAGAGUGCUAAAAGACUUCUCCAUCUCAGACCAUGAUUUACACAUAAGUAAAUAUUUAUAAGCUUAAUCCAGGAAAAAACAACAGAGGCCGUCUUUUUAAUGUCUGAAGAGAAAGAAGAAGGUAAAUUGACAAAAGACCGCGCUAGAACUAUAUGUAACUAACACCUCUCCUUAUACUCCCAUAGUCACAAAAGAAUUGAUCUUUUAACUUGCUACUUCCAUGAACAUAUUUCUUGGCGCAAAGCCUUGGGCACCUACUGAUCUCAGAAGAGAGUAUUGCCUAUGCCUCAAGUUCAGACCAGCUACGUCCAGCACUGUUUGAUUAUACAUGAAUUGUCACCUCAUCAAAUCUUUCGGACACAAUAAUAGCCACAUUUUCUUUGCACCUGUCUUACAACCUACCUGGUCUCCUGAACUGCCAAAAUCCACACAUGCCAAGAAUUAAUCAUUCAAAUCUGCAAACCAACAACCUUCAUACCAUGCGAAAAGGUAAAAACUGUUUAUAUAACUUCUGGCUUUGACAAAUCUGCAAACUAAAAGACUUAGCAGAAAGGUAACAACUGUUUAUCU